rnacentral:rRNA from 1 species
GAUGAACGCUAGCUACAGGCUUAACACAUGCAAGUCGAGGGGAAACGAUAUUGGAAGCUUGCUUCCGAUAGGCGUCGACCGGCGCACGGGUGAGUAACGCGUAUCCGACCUGCUCACCACUUGGGGAUAACCUUGCGAAAGUAAGACUAAUACCCCAUGAUAUCUCUAGAAGACAUCUGAAGGAGAUUAAAGAUUUAUCGGUGAUGGAUGGGGAUGCGUCUGAUUAGCUUGUUGGCGGGGUAACGGCCCACCAAGGCGACGAUCAGUAGGGGUUCUGAGAGGAAGGUCCCCCACAUUGGAACUGAGACACGCUCUAAACUCCUACGGGAGGCAGCAGUGAGGAAUAUUGGUCAAUGGGCGAGAGCCUGAACCAGCCAAGUAGCGUGCAGGAUGACGGCCCUAUGGGUUGUAAACUGCUUUUAUAAGGGAAUAAAGUGAGUCUCGUGAGACUUUUUGCAUGUACCUUAUGAAUAAGGACCGGCUAAUUCCGUGCCAGCCGCCGCCGUAA